rnacentral:rRNA from 1 species
CCUACGGGAGGCAGCAGUGGGGAAUAUUGCACAAUGGGGGAAACCCUGAUGCAGCGACGCCGCGUGAGUGAAGAAGUAUUUCGGUACGUAAAGCUCUAUCAGCAGGGAAGAAAAUGACGGUACCUGACUAAGAAGCCCCGGCUAACUACGUGCCAGCAGCCGCGGUAAUACGUAGGGGGCAAGCGUUAUCCGGAUUUACUGGGUGUAAAGGGAGCGUAGACGGCAGGGCAAGUCUGGAGUGAAAUCCCAUGGCUUAACCAUGGAACUGCUUUGGAAACUGUGCAGCUAGAGUGCAGGAGAGGUAAGCGGAAUUCCUGGUGUAGCGGUGAAAUGCGUAGAUAUUAGGAGGAACACCAGUGGCGAAGGCGGCUUACUGGACUGUAACUGACGUUGAGGCUCGAAAGCGUGGGGAGCAAACAGGAUUAGAUACCCCGGUAGUC